AAAGUCGUAACAAGGUAUCCGUAGGUGAACCUGCGGAUGGAUCAUUAUCGUAUCCAAUACCUCAUCUACCAAUUUGUGAACUGUUGCCUUCUGUGUUUAAUUGCCAACUAUCUUCGGAUGGUCGCUCUCUUGGAAUUGAAAGGGUGAGAUCUCGCAAGAGAUCGGCAGUUGCAUAGAAGUGUAUUUUCUUCAAUUCUAAUCAUCAUUAACCAAUCGAACCAUUUCUAAAAAUGUUAUUCUUUGUAUUGAUCUGAAUUGUUUCUUACUCUUGCUUCGGUUAGAGAAGAAAUCGAUUUACGAAAUAAAAAGAACAACUCUUAGCAACGGAUAUCUUGGUUCUC
rnacentral:misc_RNA from 1 species